UGCUGUUAUCUCUAUGAGAGUCAGUCCACACUGCGCGAUGCGUCAGCAUUGCGUCGACGCAGAGCUGCCGUUGCGUUUUUUUACAUACAAAUAACCAAGGUUUUUCAAACGGCGCGCUGCGUCGUCGCAACGCCCACA